UGUCAUACAUGCUUCAAGUCGAACGCACCUAUUUUUUUCCUCUGAGAAUUUUCGAGAGAAGCCAGUGGAAACUGGAUUUUCCAUGUUGGACCACACGUGUCUCAGAAGAAAUAGAGUGAUACAGAGUUCAGUCAAGUUGAUUAAAAGCUGUUCGUUCACCAACUGAACCAAACCGGAUUUUUACCUCACCUUUUUACCGUCACUUCACAGAGCCAGAUAUAGCCGACUGACAAUGAGAUCAAUGUUGUUCAGAGUGUCAAGUUGGGCAUCUUGUCAAUCAGCGAGGACACCAGACAAGAUUGUGCCUUCCCAGACGACUUUGUGAAUAUGGCUGUGAUACUGGAAGGGGAAAUUUUCAUUGUGUAUCUCCAAGACAUUCCAAAUGCCUUCGUCACAUUGUUUGGACUGCUUUACACUUUAAACAUCAACUAUCCCAAAGAGCUGCGAUACACCUUUGAUGUGAUCCAGUGGAUCUUCAUGAACAUUGAUGGGGAAAGGUGCUCCGCAAAAGUUCAUGGACUAAAAACAAACUAAUGCGGUGAAGUGCCUGCAACCAUUGCUAUUUCCUUUUUUUUUUUUUUUAGUUUAAUUGAUGAAUUUGUUAAAGCAUCAGCUAAGUUUAGAUUAAAGUGGUAUGAAACCAAUUCAUACGUCUUUUAAUGUCUUAAUGCUUUUCAGAGUUUCUUUUUGAAACGAAUGUUGUGAACAGGAUAUUUCUAUAUGAAUCUAUAUGGGAAUGCCAUUUUAAAGUGUUUAGUUUAAUUGAUGAAUUUGUUGAGGCUUGAGAGCAUAAAUAAUUGAUAACUUAGUUUAUAUUAAAAAAGCAUUUAAGCCAAUUCAUAGAUCUAUAAUGCGUUUAACAAUGUUUAAACAUUUUCUUUUGGAACGAAGGAUGUUUCUAUAUUGAAUGCUGUGGGGUGAUCUUGUUUAAUGUUAUAUAACAGAUUAAUCCAAAAAACGUGCAUUGAGACAGGUGUAAAACACCUUUCAAUGAGGUUGGUGUUCUUAGGAGUUUAUUGCAAUACAUUUUGUUGAAAAUUAUAUUUGUGAUCGGUAAUUUGCCAUACAUUUGUUUUAAUGAAAUGUAUUUUACAAAUUAAUGUUCCAAGUAGUAAUUCAUUAUUUGGUACUUCUGCAGGUUUUAAAGUUUCAUAACACCACUUUAGUUGGCUGAACUUACUGGGUGUAGUUUAGAAAACACAGCUUUAGUUGGCUGAACUUACUGGAUGUAGUUUAGAAAACACAGCUUUAGUUGGCUGAACUUACUGGGUGUAGUUUAGAUGACUUAACUUUAGUUGGCUGAACUUAAGUUCUAAGUUUACUUAACUAAAUUAAAUCAGUUCAUUGUACUUUAUAACUUGUCAGGUCAACCUUUCCAAAUUUGUCAGAUACACUUUUCCAAAUAAGUUAGUUUAACUCAAAAAAAAAACAAUGCAAAAAGAUA